GACGAACGCUGGCGGCGUGCUUAACACAUGCAAGUCGAACGGAAAGGCCUGCUUUCCCUUGUGGAUUGCGGGUACUCGAGUGGCGAACGGGUGAGUAACACGUGAGUGAUCUGCCCCCAACUUUGGUAUAAGCCUGGGAAACUGGGUCUAAUUCCCGAUAGGGCUGCAGGGUGGUGCCUGUGGUGGAAAACGAUUUUCUAGUGGUUGGGGAUGAGCUCGCGGCCUAUCAGCUUGUUGGUGGGGUAAUGGCCUACCAAGGCGGCGACGGGUAGCCGGCCUGGGAGGGUGGGCGGCCACAUUGGGACUGAGAUACGGCCCAGACUCCUACGGGAGGCAGCAGUGGGGAGUAUUACACAAUGGGCGGAAGCCUGAUGCAGCGACGCCGCGUGGGGGAUGACGGCCUUCGGGUUGUAAACUCCUUUCGACCGCGAGGAAGCCACCUGGUUGGAAGGGUGGUGACGGUAGUGGUAGAAGAAGCACCGGCUAACUACGUG
rnacentral:rRNA from 1 species